GGGAGGUAGUGACAAUAAAUAACAAUACGGGGUCCUUUAGGGUCUCGUAAUUGGAAUGAGUACAAUUUAAAUCUCUUAACGAGGAACAAUUGGAGGGCAAGUCUGGUGCCAGCAGCCGCGGUAAUUCCAGCUCCAAUAGCGUAUAUUAAAGUUGUUGCAGUUAAAAAGCUCGUAGUUGAAUUUCGAGAUCAGUACGCUGGUCGUGCCUUCGGUAUGCACUGGUCUCACUGAUUCCUCCUUCCUGAUGAGCCGUAAUGCCAUUAAUUUGGUGUUGCGAGGAAUCUGGACUGUUACUUUGAAAAAAUUAGAGUGUUUAAAGCAGGCUAACGCUUGAAUGCAUUAGCAUGGAAUAAUGAAAUAGGACGUUUGAUCUUAUUUUGUUGGUUUCUAAGAUUGACGUAAUGAUUAAUAGGGAUAGUUGGG
rnacentral:rRNA from 1 species